UAUUAAUUUUUUUGCCUGCAAGAAAUUUUGCCCGAUAAUCGAAAGGCGAUGCCUGCGGAGGAGGCUACGAUACGAUCGUACUUGUUUUUACAUUCAUUCGCCGCUGAAGAAAUUUGUUCCUUGCUACAGUUGCUUAAAAUUUUCAACUUCUGUUUGACCUUUCGUUGACGGCGCGAAAGAACAACAAAUGAACUUUUUCGGUGGCGAAAUUUUUCGCCAGCGGCGGCGAAAUACGUGAGUGGAAAACGGGCUUUACUUUACUCCCGAUUAUUUUUGUGCCUCCUGGGAUCGGAAGUAUUGCAUAUCGAAAGUUCUAAAUUCGCCGCGAGAUAUAAUGCUUUCCAGGUAUUAACAAACAAUAGCUGCUUGAUUCCUGGAACCAUAGAUGCAGAGGACGCCUGAUGUCUUGUUUGUUAUUUUGUUUUCUUCGUAAAAUCAAUACAUAAAUAAUGUGGCUGUAGCAGCCAAGCCUAAGGAUUUGCUAACAAUUGAUGAGGUUGCUGAAGUUUAUUAUUAAACCUCACCGGCUGUAUUCUGUUCAUAUAAAUAUUGCGUGUGAUAGUUGCAAGUUGGGGAACUGAAUCAGACAGGCGUAUAAAGAUUACAAAUAAUUCGCACGAAAGCGAUGAAACCGAAACGGUAAGCUGAAUUUGCCAUGGUCGCCAUGUCUAGACAUGUCCCUGACUUGGCAUCCUCAUAAAAUUGAUGAAUGAAAAACAGCUCCUGAAUCAGAUCGGUUAUAGUAUAACCUCAAAUGUAUUUCCUCAGCAUAUUUGAUAUGAAGUAGGCUAUAGCGUCUAUCCAAUGUCCC